UACGCAGGGGGCAAGCGUUGUCCGGAAUUAUUGGGCGUAAAGCGCGUGUAGGCGGUCCGGUAAGUCGGGUGUGAAAGCCCCGGGCUCAACCUGGGAAUUGCAUUCGAGACUGAAUAGCUAGGGUACGGUAGAGGGAAGUGGAAUUUCCGGUGUAGCGGUGAAAUGCGUAGAUAUCGGAAGGAACAUCAGUGGCGAAAGCGACUUCCUGGACCAGUACCGACGUUCAGGCACGAAAGCGUGGGGAGCAAACAGG
rnacentral:rRNA from 1 species